AGGACGAACGCUGGCGGCGUGCUUAACACAUGCAAGUCGAGCGGAAAGGCCCUUUCGGGGGUACUCGAGCGGCGAACGGGUGAGUAACACGUGAGUAACCUGCCCUGGACUUUGGGAUAACCCUCGGAAACGGGGGCUAAUACCGGAUAUGACUUUUCCCUGCAUGGGGAUUGGUGGAAAGUUUUUCGGUCUGGGAUGGGCUCGCGGCCUAUCAGCUUGUUGGUGAGGUAAUGGCCUACCAAGGCGACGACGGGUAG
rnacentral:rRNA from 1 species